AGGGAAACCGAGUCUUAACUGGGCGUUAAGUUGCAGGGUAUAGACCCGAAACCCGGUGAUCUAGCCAUGGGCAGGUUGAAGGUUGGGUAACACUAACUGGAGGACCGAACCGACUAAUGUUGAAAAAUUAGCGGAUGACUUGUGGCUGGGGGUGAAAGGCCAAUCAAACCGGGAGAUAGCUGGUUCUCCCCGAAAGCUAUUUAGGUAGCGCCUCGUGAACUCAUCUUCGGGGGUAGAGCACUGUUUCGGCUAGGGGGUCAUCCCGACUUACCAACCCGAUGCAAACUGCGAAUACCGAAGAAUGUUAUCACGGGAGACACACGGCGGGUGCUAACGUCCGUCGUGAAGAGGGAAACAACCCAGACCGCCAGCUAAGGUCCCAAAGUCACAGUUAAGUGGGAAACGAUGUGGGAAGGCUCAGACAGCCAGGAUGUUGGCUUAGAAGCAGCCAUCAUUUAAAGAAAGCGUAAUAGCUCACUGGUCGAGUCGGCCUGCGCGGAAGAUGUAACGGGGCUAAACUGUGCACCGAAGCUGCGGCAGCGACGCUUAUGCGUUGUUGGGUAGGGGAGCGUUCUGUAAGCCUGCGAAGGUGUCCUGUGAGGGAUGCUGGAGGUAUCAGAAGUGCGAAUGCUGACAUAAGUAACGAUAAUGCGGGUGAAAAGCCCGCUCGCCGGAAGACCAAGGGUUCCUGUCCAACGUUAAUCGGGGCAGGGUGAGUCGACCCCUAAGGCGAGGCCGAAAGGCGUAGUCGAUGGGAAACGGGUUAAUAUUCCCGUACUUGGUGUUACUGCGAAGGGGGGACGGAGAAGGCUAUGUUGGCCGGGCGACGGUUGUCCCGGUUUAAGCGUGUAGGCU
rnacentral:rRNA from 1 species